rnacentral:misc_RNA from 1 species
GAUGAAGAACGCAGCGAAAUGCGAUAAGUAAUGUGAAUUGCAGAAUUCAGUGAAUCAUCGAAUCUUUGAACGCACAUUGCGCCCGCCAGUAUUCUGGCGGGCAUGCCUGUUCGAGCGUCAUUUCAACCAUCAAGCCCCAGGCUUGUGUUGGGGACCUGCGGCUGCCGCAGGCCCUGAAAACCAGUGGCGGGCUCGCUGUCACACCGGGCGUAGUAGAUUUUAUCUCGCUCAGGGCGUGCUGCGGGUUCCGGCCGUUAAAAGCCUUAUUUACCCAAGGUUGACCUCGGAUCAGGUAGGAAGACCCGCUGAACUUAAGCAUAUCAAUAAGCGGAGGA